ACCUUAGAAAGCUUUAGCAGUUUUGUUUCCUGUGUUUCUGUGAGUUGGGACUUUACAGUGAAUCAGUGACUACUGCUCAGCCAAAAAGUGCCUCCUAAUUUACUUGAAGCCUCAUACCACUGUGGUAAUUAACUGGCCUUUAGUGUAAUAUAUUUCAUCUCAUGUUGAUGUUAUAUGUUGUUUGGUUUGUGGAUUUUAUAGCUGUUAGUUUAAAAAGAAAAAGUAAUUUAUUUUUUUAUUAUUUUCAUAAAAUACUUCUAAAGUUUUCAUCCCAAAGAUGCCUUUGAAAAUAUUUUUGUGUUGUUAUAACACAUAAGCUUGGAAAACGUAACCCAAUUAAUUGUUUUAAACCAAAGUCAACUUACACACAGAGAUCAAUCCACAUUAGGGACUAGUCAGGUUUUUAAGAUUGGUGUUUUUUUUCAAAUCAGGAAUUGCACAAACACAGCCUGGGUGUUCAUUCUCCCAGGUUCCUGCAGGGCUCUCAGAAUGACCUCCUGGCCAAAUCCCUCCCUGCUCUGGGAGCCCAGGGCUGCUGUGCAGUCAGAUUUUGUGGUGUGUUCCUCCGUUUGCAGUGCAGAUUUUGUGGUGUGUUCCUCCGUUUGCAGUGCAGAUUUUGUGGUGUGUUCCUCCGUUUGCAGUCAGGUUUUGUGGUGUGUUCCUCAGUUUGCAGUGCAGAUUUUGUGGUGUGUUCCUCCGUUUGCAGUCAGAUUUUGUGGUGUGUUCCUCCGUUUGCAGUGCAGAUUUUGUGGUGUGUUCCUCCGUUUGCAGUCAGGUUUUGUGGUGUGUUCCUCCGUUUGCAGAGCCCUGCAAUCCCCCUGCCCUGCCGGCAUUGUUGGUUCCUCUCUCGCAAUGGUUCCUGAGUAGCUGUCAGUGUCUCUCUGCGUGCAGUGGGAGGACACUGCCCUGAACAGUUCAUUUCCUGCUUCUGCACUGGAAAAGUAUUUACAGCAGCACAUUCUUGCCUUUUUAUUGGUACAAUGAACAGAUAUCCACCUGUUCCUUUAGCACUUUCCUGUCACACACAAGGUAUUUGCAAAGAACGCUGAAUCUAAGUAAAGAUUGUAAUUCUGUAAGCUCAGGAUGAUUUAAAGCCACAUUGUUUCAGUACUAAAGCAUGUUGCAAAACUCUCUAACUUCACCAGAAUCGGUGAAGCAAGGAAUAAAAAUGUUGGGAGUUGCUGAAGAACAGAAAAGGUUCUGUGUGUUUCUCCUUUUUUUCUCUACAAUGUGCAUGAACACUUCAAAAGGUUCAAGAGAGAACUGUAUAUGGAUCUCUUAGAGCUCAUCCCUCAUGAAAACAUUAACAUAAAAUGUGUUUGUGGAAAAGGAAGACAGUCCCUUUUUCUCUGUCACAUCACAAAUCUAAAACCCUCCAAGGCUCAGGGUAUUCCAGAUUCUCCAGCUCCAUGGACUGAGCUCCGGCCUGGUGAGAGGCAGACCCUGAAAAAGCCAAAAUGCUGAAAAAACAGCAGAUGGAAAGAAAAGAAAGGAAAUUUUAGAAAUAGUGACCUGGAUAAAACUACACACAGAAAGCAGCUGCCAAAAGAGGUGGAAAUCUCCUUCCAUCAAUGUAAAGGGGGGAAACUGGGAUUACUACAGGAAUUUCUCUGGAACUCAGUGGUGCCCUGUGUGCUCUGUAACCUGUACAGAAAUGGGGACUAACAGAUACCACAGCACAUCUCACACAGCCUGUGGUAAUAAACUCUUCUGUCUGGACAAGGUGAGUUCUGGGGUGAUGAAAUAAAUCCUGUUUCCAACAUUGACAGAAACAGGCUGCACACUUACAAGUUUCAGCAAAGUGUUCCUGUGAGUAAAACAGAUGAGUGCAUAUUCCAAAGAGCACAGGUGGGUUUACUUUGUGUAAAGAUUGCUUUAAUUUGUAUAAUUCAGACCACCUGGCACUCAGCAGGUCUUAACUAAAACUUCUCCUUGCAUUGUGUUGGUUUUUAUGCAAAGCUCAGAAUUCAGUUCUGGGAUCAUGGUAAACAUGCCUUGCAGUUUAACAGCCAGCAGGUGAUUGAUUUAUUUAUUGCUUUAUUUAUUGAUCUGUUCCUGAAGCAGAAGCAGCACCUGGUGUACAGGUAAGAAUCUCAGAAUCUGAUUUUCUAUAGGAUUUGGGAUUGGUGUCUUGUUUUAUGGAAUUGUAUCUGGGAAAAUGCUUUCUGCUAGUUUAACAGCUAACCUUCUGCCCAUAGAUGUAGAAGAACAAUAUUCAGUGAACUUAAUCUAUAAAAAAUACAGUUAUUUUUUUGCAGGUACAAAGUACAUAGCGAAAGGUCAGAUCACCACAGCAAAUGAAAAAUGGUUGUAGUGUGUGUAGAUCUCUCGUAUCCAAACUAUUUCAGUCUUGGAGAAUUCCAGGGAGAGUUCCCAGAAAUGGGAAAUCAUUUCUGGGAAUCACAUGCACUUAUAAUAAGCCAUUAAAAGGGAAAGUUGGGUUUUUUGCCCACACAGAAGCUCCAGUUUAAUGUGCAGAAGAUGAGAAAAUGCAGGUCAGUCCCUCCCAGGAGCAGAUGUUACUCAUUGAGCGAUGCCUUCACUGUUUCCAUUUCUCACCAAUUCCCUCCAGCACACCCUGCCAGGGCAGUCACAGUAAAAAUGAGUCCAUAAAGAGAAUUCAGUGACAAAUCCAGCAGCAGCAGCACCCUGAGGAGGCAGCUCCAGAGCCUGACAACUCCCCUUUGGCACCUGAGGCUGUUACUGAAGCAGCAGACAGUGCACACCAAGAAAUUCAAUAUUUGGCUCCUGUGGAUCACCAACUCCCAAGCAAAGAGAAAGGGGUGUUGCUUUGUUAAAUCCACAGCACUUCAAUCAAGUCCAGGAUGUAAACAUUCCCCUGGGGAGGUGCAGCAUUGUUCACACUCAAUUGCAAGCACUGGGAGGGUUGUCUGCACGUCUCCAACACUGAGCUUUUGGGGUUUCAUUCUUCAUCUCCCACACAGCUCUGCUGGAGAGUUCGCUGAGUGGAACAGUUGGAAGUGCAUUGCUGGAGCUGAUGGACAUUUGGAGGGUAAGAGGAAGUUAGUUCAGCACCAUUUGUUUAAUUAAGAGUACAUUAGGUCAUAUCUUGGUAAAAGUAGACCAUACAUCACUGUAGGAUAGAAUACAUCAUUUCCUAAAAUUGAUUUUGUUUCUGAUCAUAUCCCACAAGGUACAUGCAUAAAAUAACAACAAAAGGUAUUAAUUGCCAAAUGUUUACUUUAAUUAAACCUUUUUUAACGAUACACAGUACAAUGUAUCCACUACUUUGCUAAAAUUCACAACAAAAGCAGGUUUCAUGUUUAAAAAUACUUCUCAUAAUAAAUUCAUAAAUAGAUGAAGGUAAAGUAUAAAAAAUUACUGUAGUACGCAAGCUUGCUCCCUUGUCUCCUCAAAUUCCAAAUCAUUUAGUCAGUAUUGAGAUAAGAAAGUUUAAAAGCAAAACAGUUACUGAUGAUUAGAAAUGUACAGCCUGCAUCUCUCGAAGAAACCUUGAAAAGCAACAGAUUUGUCCCAGAAAAUGCAGAACCAUUUUAACACUGUUAUCACCCAAACCCCUCAAAUAAUUUUGGAAUGCAGUGAAUGAAUUCAAUAUGAAUUAGAGAUUUUUUCCUUCCCCCCCAGAGGUGUGUGUGAGCCAGACUGGCUGGGCUGCUCCCUGCUCUGCACUCGUGGGAUUUCACCUGGCAGAUCUCAGCGAGUGAGGCACAGGAGAGGGAAAAUCUGCCCGACAGCACAGAGCACAUCUGCCCAGCAGAAAUCUGAAACAGAAAUCUUUACAAACAGUUACAAAGAACUAAAUUCACCUUCUGCUCAGUACCAGCCUGUAUUUGCUGGCAAGCAGGACAGGGUCUGGUGUCCCCCACUGGCUUCCCCUGUUUUGGGAAUGGUUUUUGUGUCUCACAUCAUUCCAACACAACCCUGUGGGGAAUCCCUGACACUGCACCACCAAACCCCAUCAGCAAAGUUAUUCUCCUCAUCAAUAUUAUCACUCUCCUAAGAAAGCAUUUAUUUUGUCAAGUAUCAAACUACUUUUCACACUUUAUCUAUUUUAAUAUCAUUUAUAAAGGGAAAAAAAUCUUACUUAUGCACAGCAUUGAACUAGGAAAUGAACAUGAAAAAUGCAGAAUAAUCAAGAUGCUCUGCCUUUCACAUUAAUGAUUUUUUUUCUCUGAUAAUUAUUUCCCUUUAGUGCAAAACCACUUCCACACAAGAUUUGUGCUUUAUUUGCAAAGGUACCGAGAUGCUUUUGAAGACGUUGGGAGGCCUCUGCCUGCAGCUUUCUGGCUGUGUGAAUUCUGCUCAUUUAAAGGUCGGGACCUUUUCAGCUCCUGGCUCACUUUUAAAAAAUGUCUUCAAGUUUCCAGGACAAGUUUGCAUGCCAUGUUCAAAGGACAAUCCCCCAACCCUUGUUUUCACAUAUGACAGCCCAGGCACCCAAAAGGAGCAAAAGUUCCCCUUUUGGUGAAGUUCUUGGAAAUGUAUCAGCAAUAGCUAACAGGAGAGCUAUCAGUGGUUUUAGUUUGGCUUCAUUUGAAUUUUUCCCCCUGAAAAACCUGCUUGCCAGUACAGUGAGAGCAAGAAAAUCAUCAGGACUUCUCCUCUGUUCUUCAGUAUUCUCAUAUUUCUCAAAUUUUGCUUUGCAAAGCAAACAUUAGCAGGUUUCUGGGCUGACAUUUGGUUUCAUAUUGAUGUAAUUAUAAAUAUUUGUACAAGUUCCAUCCAUGAUGAUGGACUGGAUGAGAAACUGGAGAUAAAAUUAGCUUAAAAUCAAUACAAAGGGUAACAAAGGCUCCUGGGAACCACAUUCUGCUGAUGAUUUCAUUUCAGUAUCUGCCUCUGCAUUCCACUCCCAAGUGCUACAAGGCAGAGAUCAAUGUCCCCCUCCUGUGCUUCUGUAAUAUUUUUGCACACUUUGGUCCUGCCAAAAAGAAAUGAUAAAUACUAAUGCAAAUACAUGAUCAGCCAAGGGGAUCUGCUUAAAAGCAAUUGCUGCACCAUAGCCUUGUUAAUGUUCAACUGGCAGUAAACAGAUUUCCUGGCAAAUGUUGGUGCUGUGAACUCUGAGCAAGCACUACUGAAUUAUUCACUUGAUGUACAUCAGUGCCCAUUUGUACCCUCAGAGGUGAAACUCAGCUUUUUACCCAUAAAUCUCAGGUUUAUUGCUCCUCACCCUCUCCACCCAGGUACCCUUUUGGCUUCAAUAGGAUUAAUGGAGUUAAACCAACCUAAUUCCUGAAUUCCAUGGCUGGGUGAGAGUCCCAGGUUUGAUAAAACCUUCAGCACAGCACUGAAAAUCUCCACAUUUUCUGUUUAUUUCUGAUCAAGGAGCUCCCAGCCUGGUGGGCAGUGAACAAAGGAAGGGUUUGGUAAUGAAAAUAAACUUUAACUACUGACAGCCCAAGCACCACCAGCGGCUAAUCUAAAAAAGAAACCAGGUUUUUGGGUUUCUUCUGAAAAAAAAAAAAUUAAAAAUAAACCAAGUCUUCUUUCUUUAAAAAUUAAAAAUAAACUAAGUCUUCUUCUAUUUCUUUUGUUCAGUUAGGAGGGCAUGCAAACUUGUACUCCACUUGUUACAAGACAGAAGAGCCAACAGUUAAAAGACAAAACUGAUUUAAAGCCAUGGUUUUAGUUUUCUGCAGGAAACUGAAAACGAAUUAGAAUUGGUGCCUUCAUUUGAAGUACAGCAAACAAAUCUCUGCUGCUGUAUUGCACAUUUUCUGACUGAACCAGACUGACCUGCAGGCAGAGCCUCACCCUUCAAGCCCAGUUUAAGAGAUAAAUCCAGGCAAAUUGUAAUGAAAAUGGUAGUGCCUGGUGUAAUUCUACUUAUUCACUAAACAAACCUCAAAAUUAAGAAAAUGGAUCACUAAUUCCUCAGUUCUUCAUCUACUGUAAAAACACAAUCACUCACUGGCUGCACUGGAAGCAGGAUUUAUGUUCAUUUGCUUCUUGUUCCAGUUUUAGGAUGAGUUGCUAUGUAAACUAUGGAUUUCAUUCUGAGAAGUAGCAAUACUGCUCUCAAAUGCAAGUGGGUUUUUCCCAGCAGUGAAUAAUUUGGCACUGAUGCUGCAGGAAGUGGGCUGAGCUCAUCUGGGGGUCCCAGCUCCAGCAGGACCACGACCUGCAGGCACAAACUGCAAUGGGUCAUGACAGAAAAUCAAAUAUCUGCAAAUAUUCUGUGCCUGAAGGGCCUCACAGCAGCAAAGGCAGCCACCAGCACUCAGUCUGAGCUUGGACUGACUUCACAGUUUCUGCUGAGAGCAGAACAUAGGGAAUUCACCAACAGCUCCAGGGUUUGGAAAAUUCCCAUUCCCAAUUUCAAACUCCCAACUGCCUAACUGGGCAUUUAUUGCCUACUGUCUUUGGAAGCAGGAAUAUCCUGGAAAACCAUCCAAAAGCACUACCAAGUACUGCAGCUCAGCCUGCCCUUCUGCAGAAAAUACCAGAAUUGUGAAAACUACACUAGUUGAAAAAUUUAAGGCCUUUUCAUUCUCACAGCUAUAAAAUUUAAAAACUAACCCCUUAGACAGAAGCAAACAGGCUACAAAGCACACAUCACUCCUCAGUUAUCUACCUCACAGUUUAAAAAA